UCCUCCCUGAAAAGGAAGAGAGAGGAGUUAGGACGAGAGUGCCGCGGAGUCCUCCCACACCAGCAUCCCCUCUUCUGUGGUGCCGGGUGGAUGCUGAGCCAUUGGGUGUCUCUCUCAUCGGCUAAUAGAAAUGGCACCGCGGAGAGCUGGUCUUUUCAUUCCAUGUCUCCAACCUCCCUCAGCAAAUGCUGAUUGAAUUUCCAGUUCUGUGAGAAAGGGUCCCUGGAAUCUGACUCCCAGGCCCCAGGGAGUGAUGCCUGGCAUAACCACCGUUCUGCGGAACAACGCUGCACUUCUGUGGGUGAAAGUGCAAGGGUUCCACUGGUUUGCUUUGAAUGAGCACUUUUUCUCUUCAGCUAGAGGUUCCAGGGCCACUGAGGGGGACUGCCAGCGACAACGGGAGCAACUUCUUUUUUCAGAGGGACCCUAGCACACCCCUCGCUACACGCGCCAGCAAAGAGCAAAGCCACGUGUCCAUCCCUGGGGACGUCCCUCCUAUGUGCCAUCUCAUCUGCCACACCAGACAAAUCAAAUGCACAGAGAGCUGUGUCUGCAAACUUUGACUUGAAGGGGUCUUAAAACCAUGCAUUUACAUGUUUGGGGGACAAAUAAUUUUGAGGUUUAAAAGAGAGUUGGCAGCUAAUUGAGAUGGUGCACAGGCGUACCGUGGCCCACGGUAUGGAGGUAGCCAGGCGUGGCCAUCCCUCUAGAAGGAGGCACGCGUUGGUCACUCAGAACGUCACUUAGAUUGACAAAGCAGAACUGCACUUUUUUUGCAUUCAAAUUUUUAUUCAAAGUUUAGCUUCUCCUUGGGUUUCCCCUCUUUUAUGAAAUGAUCAAUUUUGGCGAACAGCCCCCAGGAAGCAAGAUAGAAAAGAAAUAUGCUGUUUACCGCAGCUGAUCAGCAACGAACCAGCACUGUCCUCAUCUAAUUCUACGUCUUCCACACUGCCCAGUAACACGAAUAACCAGAGCACGGACGCCAAGAAUCCUUACAAAGAACGCAGCUAACAGACCGAGGUGAAAACGUUUAUGAAAUUCUAGCCUGCGAAGCCGCCUUAGGAACCAUCUAGUGAGAUUUCCCUCCCAAGACAGGCAGCUUCCUCACAUACCGUGGAGGCCUCCUGCUGGCCUGGGGACUGACAAGUGCAGGGCCCUGCCCCUCGAGGGCCAGCCUCUCCCUCGGGAGCGUGGGUUUUUCCUGUUUGAUCCUGGCUUAACUUGAACAUCCCUGGCAUUGGAGCUGCCCUCCGGAGUAGCCCAGAAGUCGACACUCACCUCACCUUUUGCUGCAUUUCCAAGAGAUCAGCCUUUGGACUUCCUGGAAAGGGGUAGAACCACUGUCCUAUGAAACAAAGUGCUUCUGUGCUGAGAUGGAGCAAGUUCCCUGCAGCCUCUGGCAAGGUAACUUACCAAGAUACAGUCCUAACUUUCUUGAUGCCCCCUUUUGACAGUGAAAAUGGUGGGCAUAUUGGUUUCACUUUUUAUCAUUGAAACUACACUUUGCUGAGCACUGACCAUGCAGGAAACCCGUUUCUCCCCGUUUUCUCUUUUGUGCUCACGGCACCCCCUGGAGUAGGCAUUCCUAUCAUCCUCUCUUUAUAGCCCAGGAGCCAAAGCUCAGCCAGCUGGAAGGAGCCAGGAUUAGAGCCUGCAUGGAUGCAACAGUCACGUUUCUCUCUAUUAUGUGUCUUGCAACUUGGAAUCACAUGAUCUAAACAUCUGCUCCACCCUGGGCUCAGGUCAGUAUAAGGCUGAACUCACAAGGUGAGGGUUAGACUGACCUCCUCUCUCAGGACAGGAAAAGAACAGAGCCUACUGCAAAAGGCAGAUACUCUUGCCUCCACUUUGACACCUCACAACUCCACAGCAACACUACAGGUGGGAAAACGUUCACAUGUAUGUUCGUGGAAAUUAAUGCACAUGGAAACAGGAUGCCCCUAUGAUGUUCUGAUGUGGUUUCCGAGUGAUGGGGGGACAUGCAUAGUUUUUUCUACCCAGUUCCUACCGACAGCACUAGACUUCCAGAUCUGUCUUUUCCUCUCACUACUCAUUUCCAACAGCACCAAAAAGAACAGAAAAGAAAGAUGGUAAAAUGACGUUAAAUGCUAUGACGUCCCUGUCCUCUCCACCUGCCUGCCUCUAAACUCCCUCAUUUCUGGGGGAGCUGAUUUAUUAAUCUAUUGGAACUGCCCCAAGUCAACUCAUUCAGCCAUAUGGCCAUAGUAGGCCAGUUAUGAACUUUUUAUGCAGUAAAAUUUAAUUACAACCAUAUGAUUUGAAAUUUGCUUUGAUACAUUGAAGCUUCCCUUGAACUCUACAGAAAUUAAAUAAUUUUUAAAAGCUUCUUACAAAAAAGUUCAGGGAAAAUACUGAACUUAUUUAAGAAAACACAUGUGUGUAGUACACUGGUUAUAUUUGCACACAGUAAAUGUGCAGAUCUAAAUGCAGCUUUCUGUUCCUCAGGGUGGUCUUGGUAGGCUCUGGCCUUCAAAGCAUCUUUGAGUGACUGGUUGUCAGCCUUGCAUAUAUUGCAAGGACAAUAUUUGCUAAAUGCGGCCCCUCACUCAUCUGGGCCCUCCCAUCAACUCUGAGCCAGCACUCAGCUUUCCCCGCGUGUCUAACAGUCCUUAAGCUGGUAGUGGAGUAAUUAGUUAUCCAGAUGGGAUGAAUCCGUGUUUCCCAGGUGAGCACGGUGUCUGCAAAAUCAUCACAACUGGCAACACCUAGUUCACUCUUGGACAUUCUGACUCAGUGAGCCUGUGGCGGAGCCCAGACAGGGGUCUGGGUGUGCAUCCUAGGUGAUUCAGAGGCAGGUGACCUGCUGGCCAGGUGGGGCGGGGCCGUCCUGACUGCAGUGCUGGGUUCAGACACUGCUCUCCAGGGAGCCUCAUCUCCGCCCUCUUGUGGCCACAUCCCAGAACUGCGGCAAUGUACAGCAUGAUGGCUCUGAGACUUGAAUAUUUGGAGAAUUUAUUUUCUUACUCAGAAUUUACGUUGAGGAGUGGAUCCUGCCUACCACUUUAUCUGACAUAAAAUCUGACACUUUAUCUGAGCUGCUUACUUAGCAGCUCAGUCACUCACUGCUCACUUCACAUAUUAAAAGCUUUUCCUAAGACCGGCUAUCCUCAAGAGCAGGGGCUGUGCCCUGAAUCGCCUGUUGUCCACAGAACCUCCCAGAAUCGUGGCUCAUGGCAGAGGUUCUGCACUCACCAAGGACGUGGGGGGACCGUGUCUGUGCCCAUGUGGAUCCCAGCUGCUGGGCAGAGCACACCACACAUCCAGACUCAAACAGUACAUGGAGUCAAAGGUCAGGUCACUGAAUCAAUGAGUACGUUACACACCAAGAAAGACCCCUCCUCUCUGCACCCCGGGGAGGGCCCCCGGAGGCCUGGUCUCCCCCAAGAUGAAAAUGCAAACGCAGGUGCCUGGGGGUCUCCCAGACCCUUUGGCUUCGCGGUUCCCUCCCAGCCCUGCCUGGAGCUUCAUGUGCCUCCUCUUUUGCUUAAUGAGAGCCGCUGUCUAAGAGUUAAGGGUUUUCUCGGUGACGUUUAACAAUAAUAAAGGUGACUGCUUAUCUAA